rnacentral:rRNA from 1 species
AAUCAACGCUGGCGGCGUGCCUAACACAUGCAAGUCGCACGAGAAAGGGACUUCGGUCCUGAGUACAGUGGCGCACGGGUGAGUAACACGUGAAUAAUCUACCUUCGAGUGGGGAAUAACUGAGAGAAAUCUUAGCUAAUACCGCAUAAUACCCACGGGUCAAAGCAGCAAUGCGCUUGAAGAGGAGUUCGCGGCAGAUUAGUUAGUUGGCAGGGUAAUGGCCACCAAGACGAUGAUCUGUAUCCGGCCUGAGAGGGCGCACGGACACACUGGAACUGAAACACGGUCCAGACUCCUACGGGAGGCAGCAGUGGGGUAAUUUUGCGCAAGUAGGGGGAAACCCUGACGCAGCAACGCCGCGUGGAGGAU